ACACGCUGUGAGUAGAAACAGUAGAGGAGACUGAGGGAUGGGGUGAAGAACACACCCCCACUGGAGCCUGAUAUUUGAUGACAAAGAUACAUGGAGAAGGACAGUGCGUACCCCAUUCAUCAGUGCUGCUUGGAAUGGAGCUGUCCUUUCUGCCCACACUAAAUGCAACUGCCAAAUACUUCCAAGCAAUAACUGUCCUACCUUCUGCUCCCCAUGACAGGUGCCCGGGCUCAGAGCUGUGUCCUCUGGAGGUCUGGCAGAGAGGAUACUGUCCUAAUUCUCUCAAAGUUGUUUGUAGUCUAAUUGUGACCCUGAAUACCAGGGACCACUGGGGAUAUGUGUGAAGACCACCAGGAAUCACGUGCACCAGUGGAGAUACAUUGAGAAAUUUAAUAUGGAAUCUACUGAAUUUUGAAGUUAACAUUAGUUGGAGGCUUCUACUUUGUUGAUAGGACUGAUGCAGUACAACCCAGCAGGCCAAAGGGACCAGAAAGGUGAGCUCACACAUGGAAAAGUUUGCAAGGCAGCUGCUCCUCACUUGUUGUUUUCUAGUAAUGAGGUUAAGUUGUUUCUCCCUUUUUGGUUUCCCUUCCUAACAAUCCCAAGGCCUGGUUGUCCUGCUUUUUCAGGUGACAUGGUCCUGUUGGGAGAUGAGCUGAUUGGCACCACUUCCUCAUAACUGUGUCUUAGGGUCCUCAUCUCAUACACAGAGGCUCACUCUAAAGACUCAGCUGCGUCAGUGUCUAUUAUUCAGCAUCAUUAACCGUCAGCGCUCAAGACUCAGAAAUAUCACUUCCUGACAUUCACUAGAUCUUUGUAGAAUUAAUGGAGUUCUGUACCAUAUUAUUGCAAAGCCUCUGAUUCUCCCAUGAUAGGAAAGCCAGUUUAAGCAAAUAAUAAUAGACACAGUCCUCAUCUGUGGGACCAUGGACCUUUCCUGUCCAGACUCUGCCCAACACCCUCAAGAGUCUCCGAAUCUUUUGCAGGAUGCGACAGUCAGUUUCAGAGGGGGAACAUGCCACAGAGGAAGUGGGUCAGAUACCCCUUGAGGAGACAUAAGAAAAUAAAAUUUGUAUGCCUAAGCCCACUGAUGUGACCACAAGUCACUUGGCCUUUGUCCACAUAGUGAACCUCGUCACUGAAGUUAUUUUGGUGUCUCUGGAACUGUUUGAGUCCCUGCAUUUUGGGAAUGACUUCAAAUGUAAGGCUUUGCUCUCCCCGAGCAGGGUGAUGAGGGGCCUCUCCAUCUGCACCACCUGCCUCCUGAGCAUGCCCAGGCCUUCACCAUCAGCCCCAGCACCUCCUGGCUGGCAAGGUUUAAAAAUAAAUCAACAAAUGACAUUUUUUAUAUUUUCUUCUUUUUAUGGUUCCUCAAUUUGUCUUUCAGUAGCAACCUGAUCAUCUAUGCUGUGUCAUCUUCCGAUGGGACUCAGACCAAUCUGGUGAUUCUCACAUAGUGCUGCUCCCUCUCACCCGUGAGCUACAUCAUUAGGGGCUUGACUGUCACUCUGUCAGUAUCCAGCGAUGUCUCCUUUGUAGGAAUUAUGCUGCUCUCAAGUGCAUACAUGAGAUUCUCCUGUGCAGAGGCAAUACCAGGACAUUCACAGCACCAGCCUCUCCCCAAGAGCCUGCCCAGAGAAAAGGGCCACCCACACCGUCCUGCUAGUGGUGACUUUCUCUGUGGUCAUGUACUGGGUGGACCUUAUGAUCUCAUCCUCCUCCACCCUGUUAUGGGCAUAAGACCCAGUUCUCUUGGGUAGCCAGAGGCUUGUGGUCAACAUCUAUGUCACAGUGAGUCCUUUGGUGCUACUCAGUUCUGACAAAAGAAUAAUCAAUGUUUUCCAAAUUAUGUGGCAAAAAGUUCCUCAAUUGUUAACAGAUUGAUUAUGAAAAUAAUUGCCUAAAAAGUACAUUCUUUUGCUGUCAGUUAACUAACUUAAGUAGCACAGGCUCUGCCACCUGGUUUAAUUAAGAUGUGUGGAAUGACACGUUUAAACUAUGUAAACAGUGUUGGCACCUGUGCUACCAUAUUUGGGUUUCAAUUCUGUGGGGCAUUAUAAGGAUCCUUGUCAUUUCUUGAUUAUUUUUUGCUGUGUGCAUUGCAAGGACCUUUAGAAUAUGUAGUAUUUUUAAAAGCAAAAUUUGCACAAUGUACACAUAGAUGAAAUACUUUACAAAACUAUUUUGUGAAAAAAGAGUCUUAUGAGAAAUCCUGAUUUGGUUCAUCACUCCACAUUCCUUCACUAUACCAUAUGGCACUGAUAUUUGUACAGUGUGAUUAUUUUUCUUUCAUAUUGAAAUGUUUUCUUAUGUUUUGCACAAGUUUUUAGUAUCAUUCCUUAACUUUAGUGAAAAGUAGGUGUAUAUACAUAUAAUUGAAGUUUUUCUGUAACAAUACUUGUCAUUGAUAGAAUUAGUUACCUGAGUUCAGGUUCUUUGACUCCAGCCACCAUGAUUCCUCCUUAGCAUUUUUCUGACACCUAAAAGGUAAUAUUGGUUUGGAUUUUUCACUUAAUUCAGCAGUUUUUAAAAAGAAUUUUAAUUGAAAUAUGCAUGCUGUUAGAUCUUACUGGUUACUCUUCAAUUGAUAGUUUCUACUCUCAUUUCAUGGUGCCUAGAAAAUAUGACCUGUAGUAUUUUCAUUUCUAGGAAGCUAAAGGCAUUCUUAGGCCAAAAACAUUUCCAUUUCUAAUCAUUUCCUCUUGUAUUUGAAAAUAAUGUGUACCCUGUGCUCUCUGUUUUAAAAUGCUAUUUGCUUAUCUGCAUAACUAGUAAAACUUACUAAUAAAGUUAUUAACACCCUUUAUGCUCAUUUAUUGUCAUAUGUCAAAACAGUUGAUCUUUAUGAUUGCUUUAAUGUCAUCUAACAUUAUAGAUAUUUCAAUUUCUUUUUUUAUGAAUUUUUGUAUUAUACAUUGUAACUCAUAUGUUAUAUGUACAGUUGGCUUAAAAUAGUACCUAAUAUAUUAAA